rnacentral:rRNA from 1 species
AUUGAACGCUGGCGGCAGGCCUAACACAUGCAAGUCGAACGGUAACAGCAAGACUCUUGCUUCUUUGCUGACGAGUGGCGGACGAGUGAGUAAUGUCUGGGAAACUGCCUGAUGGAGGGGGAUAACUACUGGAAACGGUAGCUAAUACCGCAUAACUCCGCAAGACCAAAGAGGGUGACCUUCUGGCCUCUGGCCAUCGGGUAUGCCCAGAUGGGCUUAGCGAGUAGGGGGGGUAACGGCUCACCUAGGCGCAGAUCCCUACCUGGUAUGAGAGGGUGGCCAGCCAGCCUGGAAGUGAGACAGGGUCCAGACUCCUGCGGGAGGCAGCAGUGGGGAAUAUUACGCAAUGGGGGGGAGCAUGAUGCAGCCCUGCGGAGUGUAUGCAGAAGGCGCUCGGGUUGGAAAGUAGUGUCAGCGGUGAGGAAGGGAGUAACGUUAAGACCUUUGGUCAUUGACGGUACCGGGAGAAGAAGCACCGGCUAACUCCGUG